AGAGCCUCGACUGUCACCCAGGCUGGAGUGCAGUGGUGAUCACAGCUCGCUGCAGCCUCUAACUCCUGGACUCAAGCCAUCCUUCCCACCUCAGCCUCCUGAACAGCUGGGACACAGGUGCAUACUACUAUGCCUGGCUAACUUAAAAAUUUUUUUUGUAGAGACAGGGUCCUGCCGUAUUGCCUAGGAUGGUAAUCACAUUUUAGAAUACCUCAAAGAUAAAUUUAUCUAAAGGAAAGAAUCAUAUUUUUAUAAUGUGAAUGAUUUCUUUAUUGGAGGCAACAUGAUCUUAGUACUUUAAACUAGGUAGCCAUGAGGUUUAAUUAAUUUUAAAUUAUAAGGGGUUAUUUUGGUUAUCUGACAGAAAGGUUGGAAGAAAGUUUUUAAUCACUCUUAACAUAAAUGUAACCAGAUCACCUGUGGUUGUAUUGUAAGCUGUAGCUAUUUGAAGAACUCAACUAUUCUUUUGAAAAGCUAGAGCAAUACACAUUAUUAAUUUAUUUUUAAAAUGGUCCUGGAGAAGACAACUUUUCAGAGAGCCUCCUGACCAUCUGUAAUGCAUUUCCAACAGGUAACCACAGGAGCUUAUUACUGUUGAAAUCCACAGUGUUUAAUUUUGAAUUGAGUAAAUAUACAACUUGGUAACUUGUUCAUUGUCUGUGAAAUUAUAUUCAGGUAGCAUUUGUGAAAUAAAUCUAGUGGUAUAUUGCUAUCUAUGACAAAAAUUAUAAAAUCUGCUGAUAUUUUUACUGCAUUUAAACAUUGUAUUAAACUAGACUUUGCUUCAAGAUCAUUUUAAAGGACAAUGUUAGUAACACAGGAAAUUCCUAAACACAUAUUUAAAACGAAAAAUCUUCUAUUUUAAAACACCACACUGGGAAUUAUUUUACGGCUUUUCUCCCAAGGUCAUCUUAGAGCAAAAGCUAUUAAAACUGCCAUUUUUUUGAUAAAAGAAAAAAAAUUAUUCCUGUUUUCAGACAGACUACCUUAGCAAGCUUUCCAGUUUUAAUCUUUUUUAUAUUAUUUUUUUUUUGAGACAGAGUCUCACUCUGUCGCCCAGGGUGGAAUGCAGUGGCACGAUCUCGGCUCACUGCAACCUCUGCCUCUCAGGUUCAAGCAAUUCUCCUGUCUUGGUCUCAUGAGUAGCUGGGAUUACAGGCACCCGCCACCAUGCCUGGCUAAUUUUUUUGUAUUUUUAGUAGAGAUGGGGUUUCACCAUGUUGCCCAGGCUGAUCUCAAGUGAUCUGCUGCCUUGGCAUCUCAAAGUGCUGGGAUCACAGGCGUGAGCCACCAUGCCCAGCUUCAUUGUUUUAAUCUUACAUUUACAUUUAAUUCCUCUUUAUAGAAGGAAACAUGUAAACUGAAACAAAAUAUUUUUAGAGCUCCAAACACGAUGGUAACUAUGAGGGAAAACUGGAACAAUCAUGCUAGUAAUUCAAGAGAAUUUCAAAGAUUGAAAUACUUCUCAUAAAAAUCAGGAAUAAAAAAAGAGUUUGAAGACACUGAGGAAAUGAAUUCAUAAACAGUAGCAUAUGGGUAUUGUAUGAAUGCAUAUUUGAACAUCACAGAAGAAGAUGUCUUAUGUAAACCGGAUGGACUUUGCUUAGAUAUGAAACAUGCUGAAAGAUUUUUUGUUUUUUGAGACAGAGUCUCACUCUGUUGCCCAAGCUGGAGUGCAGUGGCAGUCAUGGCUCACUGCAGCAGCCUCAGCCUCCUGAGUAGCUGGGACUAUAGGUAUGGGCCACCACGCCUGGCUAAUUUGUUUAUUUUUUUUGACGGAUGGGGUCUAGGCAUGUUGUCCAGGCUGGUCUCAAAAUCCUGGGCUCAGGCAAUCCUUCCACUCUGGCUUCCUAAAGUGCUGGGAAUAUAGGCGUGAGCCACCAUGCCUGGCCAUGUUGAAAUAAUUUAAUACAUAACUUAGAAUAUAUGCAUUUUAAAAAAUAUCAAACAACACUUAUAAUUUAUCAAUUAAAUGAUGUGGCAAGGAAACCAAAAAUCAGGAUUUUAAAAGCUACAGUUAAUCAGACAAAAAUUCUUUAAAAUGUUUUCCAGGGUCUAUUACGAGAUUAGAAUUCUUCCCUUUGAAUCCAUUUUUUAAAAAAAUGAAAGAAAUGUAUACCAUAUGGUGUUUAAAAAAUGAAGUGAGUGAGUGAGUCUACAGAGUAAGUCAAGUACAUGACCACAAAAUUGUAUUAAGUAUGGGGUGUAUUCAUUUAAUUUUCAUAAUUUUAGCAGUUAUGCAAAAGGACCAAUUCUACAUAGGACAAACACUUGAAUUUCAAUCUCUGAUGACUACAAAUACAUGCCCAAAAGUUGCAGGGGGGGAGGAAAGCAAAAGACAGAAACAGAAUAAAGCUGGAAACUACGUCAGGCAAAUUUGCCUCCUGUUUUAUUGCUAAAUAAGAUAGCUACAAAGAUAACAACCUACAUCCCUCCCUCAUCAUUUGCCCACAAGAAAACUCCUUAUGGAAAAAGGACAGACACAACUCAAAGUCAUCCUUUGAGGCUCACCUGAGACAAAUGCAUAACUGAUUGCUUCCUCUACCCUAUUGUUCAUGUAAAAAUGUAGGUUCACUGAGCCAGACACAAUUGUGUAUUCAUUGGAAGGCUGAUCAAGGACUCAAAAGAAUGCAACCUUUUGUCUCUCAUCUACUUCUGGCCUGGAAACCCCCUACUUCGAAUUGUUCUGCCUUACUGGACCGAACCAAUGUACAUCUUACAUAUAUUGAUUGAUGUCUCAUGUCUCCCUGAAAUGUAUAAAAGCAAGGUGUACCCCGACCACCCCGGGGCGCAUGUUGUCAGGACCUCCUGAGGCUGUGUCAUGGGUGUGUCAUUAACUUUGGCAAAAUACACGUUCUAAAUUGAAUAAGACUUGUCUCAGAUACUUUUUGGUUUACAGCAAUGAUGACAAUCAUGAUGUAGCACUAGAGACAACUAAAGGGCUCAGAAUCUUUCUCAUGUCCCCGUCCUCUCAGGGCCGUGUGCCACCCACCAAAACCAAGAGACUGUGAAAUAAAAUCUACAGAACAAGCACAAGGCACACUGAUGGACAGUCACGGAACCAGCAGCGAUAAACAAAAUGCAGCAGAGACACCAAGUAACAACCAUAAAUAAUGAUAUCCAAGAGUCAGAAGUAAAGAGGAGUUCACAUUACUGCCCUGUAGCUCUUUCAUCUCUCUUUAAAACCCCAAAAGCCUUCUGGAGGCGUGGAAGUUACAUCUGCAUUACUUAUCCAUGUCAUUCUAGGUGGAAUCAUGUCUAACAGAUUUCCAUCGAAGCCCUGGUGCUGUCUCUCUCCCCAUCCCCGCUUCAGCUCCAGGUCAGAAGGUGAUGGGGAGUUCAGGUCUAUGGGUUUGUGCCCUGCGCUGGGAAGGGCUGUCCCCGCCUACUCUGCGAUUCCAA